AACGAACGCUGGCGGCAUGCCUAACACAUGCAAGUCGAACGGGAUCCUAGCUUGCUAGGUGAGAGUGGCGGACGGGUGAGUAACACGUGGGAAUCUGCCUUUUGGUUCGGGAUAACCGCGGGAAACUGCGGCUAAUACCGAAUGCCCUCGAGAGAGGAAAGAUUUAUCGCCAGAAGAGGAGCCCGCGUCCGAUUAGGUAGUUGGUGGGGUAAAGGCCUACCAAGCCGACGAUCGGUAGCUGGUCUGAGAGGAUGAUCAGCCACACUGGGACUGAGAUACGGCCCAGACUCCUACGGGAGCAGCAGUGGGAAUA
rnacentral:rRNA from 1 species